UCUGAAAAAACUAGUCGCACGUGCCGGCACGGAUUCUGUAGCUGCCUGUUCGACUUUGCGGAUCACAGAAAUAUACGAGAAUGAAGGACACGGUCGGUCCGUGCAGGGCGAUCGUGGAGAGUGACAGCGACGCACAAUCAGUUUCUGAUAUUGCAAAAACGAGUGAAAAAGGAUGGGAUUCCCAACUAUGCUGGUACGAAAGAAUCAUGCUUUCGGUGCUACGACAAGGAACCAUACCUCAGCACUUCGCCAUCGUCGCGGAUGGUAACCGGCGUUUUUCUCGGAAAAAGAAAAUAUCCCUGAGCCAAGUCUACUCUCUUAUGUUUAGGAAGUUCACUACGACUUGGCCCUACAUGGCAGCUCUCGGUGUUCCCGAGGUCACCUACUUCAUGAUUAGUACUCGUAACUUCAGCCGCAAUACCUGGGACCUCGUUACUGCCAUUGAUGAGAUGAUGAAAUUCUUCACCAGAACCCUUCAGUGCCUCAAAGCUUAGGCUCUGCGGAGCGUAUAACACCAAGGUCGGAUUGAAGAAUAUGGUGGUGGACUUAGUAAAGGCCGUUCAAGCGGGAGCCAUUGAAUCAGAUUACCCAAUUUGGACACUAGGUUGCUGGUCAACAACAGCUGUUCUAUUCAAGGCUGGAGUCUGAACGACCAAGUAUUGAUUCAAGGCGAAAAGAUAGCAUGUUUGCGUGGUCGACCAAGCGAUACUUGAAUAAAA